AAAGCAAUCUAAAUUGGCUAUCUUCCGCAUUCUAAAAUUUAGAACUCUGUGUAAUACCCAUUUAGAAUGAGCGAAACGGGUGAAACUUUUCCAUUUAUCACACUAAAAUGAUGUUCAAUCUGACGAAGUAAAGUUAUUGGUGAUUGAUAACUUAAUAAUUCCAUCGAGGGAUGUCUACAUUAUGAUAAAUACUGCUGUCAAAUACACAGUCAAAAGAUUUCGACAAAACGCUAUGAUAGAUGUCGAAAUGCCGUCAACACAAUUUGAGUUUGUUCUAAGCAAUACAACUGUUGCAGUUCUUCAUUAAACAUCAUCUAAUUUUAUUGGUCGUGUUCUUGGUUAUACACAAGUUACCCUCGUUGAUAAAAGUA